rnacentral:tRNA from 1 species
CGAGGUGUAGCGCAGCCCGGUUAGCGCACCUGCUUUGGGAGCAGGGGGUCCCAGGUUCGAAUCCUGGUACCUCGA